AACGAACGCUGGCGGCAUGCCUAACACAUGCAAGUCGAACGAGACCUUCGGGUCUAGUGGCGCACGGGUGCGUAACGCGUGGGAACCUGCCCUUAGGUUCGGAAUAACUCCCCGAAAGGGGUGCUAAUACCGGAUAAUGUCUUCGGACCAAAGAUUUAUCGCCUUUGGAUGGGCCCGCGUUGGUUUAGCUAGUUGGUAGGGUAAAAGCCUACCAAGGCGACGAUCCAUAGCUGGUCUGAGAGGAUGAUUAGCCACACUGGGACUGAGACACGGCCCAGACUCCUACGGGAGGCAGCAGUGGGGAAUAUUGGACAAUGGGCGAAAGCCUGAUCCAGCAAUGCCGCGUGAGUGAUGAAGGCCUUAGGGUUGUAAAGCUCUUUUACCCGGGAUGAUAAUGACAGUACCGGGAGAAUAAGCUCCGGCUAACUCCGUG
rnacentral:rRNA from 1 species